GCCUGCCAGCAAUUUCCGCCCCUCCAGCUAAACGUGAAGAACAGAGGUUCGGAACCAAUGUGUCGCGCUUUCUCCAGAGUCGGUCGGUUUAGGACUCUCUUUCCCGUCGCGGCUUGUGUGGAGUCAGUUCGCGGGUCUGGGAUACCCGAAAAUUGAGAGCUUCUUCGCUCCCCGGCAGCUGCCCCCGACGGCUCUGCGGCUGUCACCAUGCCACAAAAUGAAUAUAUUGAGUUACACCGGAAGCGAUAUGGCUAUCGUUUGGAUUACCAUGAGAAAAAAAGAAAGAAAGAAGGUCGAGAGGCUCAUGAACGUUCAAAGAAGGCAAAAAAGAUGAUUGGUCUGAAAGCUAAGCUCUACCAUAAACAGUGCCAUGCUGAGAAAAUACAAAUGAAAAAGACUAUCAAGAUGCAUGAAAAGAGAAACACCAAACAAAGAAUGAUGAAAAGACUCCACAAGGAGCAGUACCUGCAUAUCUACUGGACAGAGAGGGACAGUCCCGAGCUAAAGUACUUUCCAAUAUGAUUAAACAAAAACGAAAAGAGAAAGCGGGAAAAUGGGAAGUUCCUUUGCCCAAAGUCCGUGCCCAGGGAGAAACAGAAGUAUUAAAAGUGAUUCGAACAGGAAAGAGAAAGAAGAAAGCAUGGAAGAGGAUGGUCACUAAAGUCUGCUUUGUUGGGGACGGCUUUACUCGAAAACCACCUAAAUAUGAGAGAUUCAUUAGACCAAUGGGCUUACGUUUCAAAAAGGCCCAUGUAACACAUCCUGAAUUGAAAGCCACCUUUUGCCUGCCAAUACUUGGUGUAAAAAAGAAUCCUUCAUCCCCACUAUAUACAACUUUGGGUGUUAUUACCAAAGGCACUGUAAUUGAGGUGAACGUGAGUGAGUUGGGCCUUGUGACACAAGGAGGCAAAGUUAUUUGGGGCAAAUAUGCCCAGGUUACCAACAACCCUGAAAAUGAUGGAUGCAUAAAUGCAGUCCUGCUGGUUUGACAGCAGUUUCAGAGAAGUAAUUCCUUAUAAUUACUUAAGAUUACACACCGAUCAGGAAGACCACCAUUACUGUGGUGGUUCUGAAUACUACCAAACAGCCUUACGUGUCUACAGUCAUCAAGAGAAGUAUUUAUUCUAUUGUGAAAAACAUUAAAAUAGACAUUUAUUAAAAUAAAUGGUCUUUA